GCAGGCUCUUCUCAUUCCGUGAGUGACCUCACCCAAGACUUGAACUUCCACAGGUGUGCUGAUGACCAAAACCUCCAUCCCCAGCCUGGCUUCUCUUCUGAGCUCCAGAUGCAAACUGCUAGCUGCGUAUGGGGCAUCUCCUUAGGGGCCUUCCAUGGGUACCUCACAGUGACACAUCCAAAUGCAACUUCUCUGCCUGCCUAAUACCUCCAUCCCUUAGUGUAUUCAAGAAGAGGCAAAUCUUUGGCUUCAGAAUGUAUAGGCUUAAAAGCCCGCUGACGACUGUAAUACCAAAAGCUAACGCUGACUGCACGUUGCCUAUAUGCUGAGCUCCGUGAUAACCAUUCUACAGUGACAUCGACCUAUGCUGUCCACAGCCCUACUGUAUCGGCGUCCUUGGUCCCAUGAAUCCGAUGAGAAAAUGGAGACAGAGCCAUGGGCACUCGACCAGGCUGCAGGGCUAGUGUUCAGGCCUGACCCACACUUCAGAGCUGGGGCUGUCCAGCACCGUGCAGGGUUCAGUGAAGAUGACCUUGAGGCAGCAGCUCCUGGGCUGUGCAGGACCAGGAGGGAAGCCCAGUCGAGGCUCAUGGACAACCUUGCUUGGACACAGCUUUGUCUCAAAACUGGAAGUGUUGAAUGAUCUUCAAGUCUCUGUAGGAAAAAGAGGUUCCAAAACAAGGAACUAAGGCCGAGGACCACUGGGAAUUGGGGCGGGCUAGCAAGUCCCUCUUGUGUUUAGAGUAGGAGACUUGACCCAGCAGGGAGAGCCUGAAAAGGCCUCGCUGAGGCUCUGAAAGCAAAGGUCUAGUGAACUCAUCUUAGAGAAGGCUGCUAGUGUUGCGGAGGUCUCCUGCCUGUAAAAAGUUUGUAGUCCAGAUUUUUCCCAUGUUGUGAUAACAUUCUAAUGUGUUAGGUUUGAGGUUUCUUCAUGAAUAGAUUCAGGAUACGCAAUUUUGGUGGGAAGCAAGAGAAGUGCAAAAAGCUAUGUUUUUCUCAGCACAUCAUAUCAGGAAGUACGUGAAGUCCACCAUCUCUGAUGCCAGCUGUGAUCCGCUGGUUAAGGUGAGGCCUGCCAGCCUGCACCAGUGUAAAGUGACUAUUUUUCCCUUCGUAAUCCAUCAGUAUUCCGCGAGGAGCUGCACUGAGAUCAUGAAAACAUCCUAUUCCUCCUCACCAGCUAGUUCUGUCUUCCGCUGACAGCUGUCUGAGUCAAUAUAACUAUGACUGUUACCAAAAGGUGAUUUUCUCAUUAAUUCAUUCUUUAGGAUGAAAACUUAUGGACAUUUUAUGAAGUGGAUAGCUUGUAUGCCUCAAAAAUACCAAUCUCAUUAAAACUGAGGAACUGCUCCACAUCAAAAGAGACUAAGGAGCUAUGACAACUAAAUGCAAUGUAUGGAUCCCAGACAAGAAUUUAUUUUUCUUUUGCUCUUAAAGACAUUACGGGAGCUGCAUGCCAUGGCUCACGCCUUUAAUCCCAGCACUUUGGGAGGCCGAGGCAGGUGGAUCACCUGAGAUCAGGAGUUCAAGACCAGUCUGGCCAACAUGGUGAAACCCUGUCUCUACUGAAAAUACAAAAAGUUAGCCGGGUGUGGUGGUGGGCACCUUUAAUCCCAGCUACUUGGGAGGCUGAGGCAGGAGAAUCACUUGAACCUGGGAGGCGGAGGCUGCAGUGAGCCAAGAUAGCGCCACUGCACUCCAGCCUGGGUGACAGAGCG
rnacentral:lncRNA from 1 species